rnacentral:rRNA from 1 species
AGUGAACGCUGGCGGUAGGCCUAACACAUGCAAGUCGAACGGCAGCACAGUAAGAGCUUGCUCUUACGGGUGGCGAGUGGCGGACUGGUGAGGAAUACAUCGGAAUCUACUUUUUCUUGGUGGAUAACGUAGGGAAACUUACGCUAAUACCGCAUACGACCUACGGGUGAAAACAGGGGAUCUUCGGACCUUGCGCGAUUGAAUGAGCCGAUGUCGGAUUAGCUAGUUGGCAGGGUAAAGGCCCACCAAGGCGACGAUCCGUAGCUGGUCUGAAAGGAUGAUCCGCCACACUGGAACUGAGACACGGUCCAGACUCCUACGGGAGGCAGCAGUGGGGAAUAUUGGACAAUGGGCGCGAGCCUGAUCCAGCCAUACCGCGUGGGUGAAGAAGGCCUUCGGGUUGUAAAGCCCUUUUGUUGGGAAAGAAGUGCAGCAGGUUAAUACCCCGAUGUUCUGACGGUACCCAACGAAUAAGCACCGGCUAACUUCGUG